GACGAACGCUGGCGGCGUGCUUAACACAUGCAAGUCGAACGAAGAGCGAUGGAAGCUUGCUUCUAUCAAUCUUAGUGGCGAACGGGUGAGUAACGCGUAAUCAACCUGCCCUUCAGAGGGGGACAACAGUUGGAAACGACUGCUAAUACCGCAUACGAUCUAAUCUCGGCAUCGAGGAUAGAUGAAAGGUGGCCUCUACAUGUAAGCUAUCACUGAAGGAGGGGAUUGCGUCUGAUUAGCUAGUUGGAGGGGUAACGGCCCACCAAGGCGAUGAUCAGUAGCCGGUCUGAGAGGAUGAACGGCCACAUUGGGACUGAGACACGGCCCAGACUCCUACGGGAGGCAGCAGUGGGGAAUCUUCCGCAAUGGACGAAAGUCUGACGGAGCAACGCCGCGUGAGCGAUGACGGCCUUCGGGUUGUAAAGCUCUGUUAAUCGGGACGAAAGGCCUUCUUGCGAAUAGUGAGAAGGAUUGACGGUACCGGAAUAGAAAGCC
rnacentral:rRNA from 1 species